CGAUCUGGACUCCUAACUUCACUUCUCGUCUGUGCAGUCGACUCAGAAGCAUCACUUCAGUACUGAUUCCGUGAUCUGGAACAUUUUGAAAUCCUACCAGAUGGGGCACAAGUCAUUGAGCAGUGGCAGCUUCUGACUUCUGACUUCAAAGACUUUGUUCACCAGCAGACCCCUUGGUUACCUUUAUUUACAGCAUUUGCAUCUGUCAGUCUUUAAAGUGAUCUAAUAUGUAUUGACUAUGUACUAGCUUAGUACAUAUUAGUUUUUGUUAUUUUAGUUUCACAAAUUCAGUGGUUACCUGU